rnacentral:rRNA from 1 species
CCCUUAGAUGUCCUGGGCCGCACGCGCGUUACACUGAUGCAUUCAACGAGCUUAUAACCUUGGCCGAGAGGCCUGGGCAAUCUUGUUAACGUGCAUCGUGAUAGGGAUAGAUUAUUGAAAUUAUUAAUCUUGAACGAGGAAUUCCUAGUAAACGCAGAUCAUCAAUCUGCAUUGAUUACGUCCCUGCCCUUUGUACACACCGCCCGUCGCACCCACCGAUUGGAUGGUCCGGUGAAGCCUCGGGAUUGUGGUUCUUGCCGCUUUAUUGUGGCGUGACCGCGAGAACUUGUCUAAACCUUAUCAUCUAGAGGAAGGUGAAGUCGUAACA